GCAUUAUACAGUAAGGAGUCCCCUUUUGCUCUGCUAGGCCUUCCUGAUUAAGUGUUAUGUAAAUACAAACAACAAGAUUUUAUGUACCUAGGGGCUGGGAGACAUCUGUCAGUAAAGCACGUGCCAUGUAAGGAAUGUGUUUGCCAUGUAGCACAGAGACUAGCACUUGGUUAACGAACAAGACAAAGACCACUGAGGUCAAGCUCUCUGUAAACAAAAGUGUACUGUGCAUUGUAAAUCUAUCUGGAUGUACCAUUCUAACUUAAGAGUUUGCUGUCAACAAAGUAAAUAUUAGCAUAACAGUGUGUUGGGGUUGGUGCUGCUAUGUUUUCAAAUGGCCCCCAAGAUCUGGUGCCCCAACAACAACAACAACAACGAGGAGAUCCUCACAUACACCAAAUGAUGCUAUGUAACCUUGUUCCCGAAGUUAAUUGGUCAAUAAAAGCUAAGACCUGUGGAUGGAUAGUAGAUAGAGGUAUGCGGGUUUUUCAGUUACCUGGCUGGAAGUCACAGGUAAAAGGCAUAGAGGAAGAAAGGAAAGGGAGAGAAGAGGAAGCAGCCAUGAGAGGAGAGGAGAUGAACCAUGAGCACAUGGCUAGGAGUAACUGCAAGUAGAAGAGUUCCAAAAUCUGCCCAAGUAGGCUUACAAGCUCAUAAAUAAAACACCUGGAUGGUGUGUCUGUUAUAGUGGGUAGCUAGAAUUUAUAAUUCUGUUUACAUUAGUGGGCUGGGAAGAUGGCUCAGUUGGUUAAAGUUCAUAUAAUGCAAGCACCCAUGUAAAACAACAGGAAAGGAAUUUAAGUUGAAUCCCCAAUAAGUAAAAAUGCCAGCACUUUGACACAGAAACAGAAGAAUCCCUGAGACCUGCUGGAUAGCCAGUCUAUCUGAAUUUGCAAGCUCUCAGUUCAGUGAGAUAAGCCCUAUAUCAUUAGUAAAUAAAUAAAUAAAGUGGGAUCUUGGUGAGUGAAUUCUGCUGGAUGGAGUAUUAGGCUGCUCAGGGAGUUCUGCUAAUUGGUGUCUGACACUCUGAAUCAAUCCUCUCUUCUGCCCUCUGUGUGCUAGGUUGGGGGUUGUCCCACACCUGAGGCAGAAAGCUGUUGGCCACAAAGAAGAUGAAAAAGUCUCUGGAGUUGAUCAACUCUAAGCUCCAGCUUGUUAUGAAAAGUCAAAAGAACAUGCUGGGGUACAGACAGACUCUGAAGAUGAUCAAACAAGGCAAAGAAAAAUGGUUAUCCUCACCAACAACUACCCAGCUUCGAGGGAAUCUGAAAUAGAAUACUACACCAUGUUGGCUAAAACUAGUGUCCAUCACUACAGUGGCAAUACUAUUGAACUGGGCACAGUGUGCGGAAAAUACUAGAGAAUGCACACUGGCUGGGGUUGGGGAUUUAGCUCAGUGGUAGAGCGCUUUCCUAGCAAGCGCAAGGCCCUGGGUUCGGUUCCCAGCUCCGGAAAAAAAAAAAAAAAAAAAAAAAAAGAAAAGAAAAAAAAAAAAAAGAGAGAGAGAGAAAGCACACUGGCUAACAUUGCCUCAGGUGAUUCUGUUAUCAGAAGCAUGCCAAACAGACAGCAGGCUGACCUCAGCUGCAGGACAGUCCACACAGGCAGAGAGAACCAGGACAGCAGAGAAUGCACACCUCACUUCUCACAGGCCUGAAGUCAGCACAUCUGAGACCUCUACUACAAGAGAAACUUGCGAAUUCAGACUACUUGUGUUGUCAGGUGACACUGAGAACCUGAGACUGACUGCUAAUAGGGAGACUCCAUCUUGCAGAGCAGUUAGUUGUGUCUGCCACAGCGUGGCAUAAAGAAAAGCCCUAGCUAGAUCUCCUUUUCCUUAAAUAGUCAAUUUCCCCAAAAGCAUGUAUUAAAUAAUCUAUUG